GACGAACGCUGGCGGCGUGCUUAACACAUGCAAGUCGAACGGAAAGGCCCUGCUUGCAGGGUACUCGAGUGGCGAACGGGUGAGUAACACGUGGGUGAUCUGCCCUGCACUUCGGGAUAAGCCUGGGAAACUGGGUCUAAUACCGGAUAGGAGCCAUUUUUAGUGUGAUGGUUGGAAAGUUUUUUCGGUGUAGGAUGAGCUCGCGGCCUAUCAGCUUGUUGGUGGGGUAAUGGCCUACCAAGGCGGCGACGGGUAGCCGGCCUGAGAGGGUGGACGGCCACAUUGGGACUGAGAUACGGCCCAGACUCCUACGGGAGGCAGCAGUGGGGAAUAUUGCACAAUGGGCGCAAGCCUGAUGCAGCGACGCCGCGUGGGGGAUGACGGCCUUCGGGUUGUAAACUCCUUUCGCCAGGGACGAAGCUUUUUGUGACGGUA
rnacentral:rRNA from 1 species